CAGCCGCCACGGUAAUACGGAGGGGGCUAGCGUUGUUCGGAAUUACUGGGCGUAAAGCGCACGUAGGCGGCUUGGUAAGUUAGAGGUGAAAGCCCGGGGCUCAACCCCGGAAUUGCCUUUAAGACUGCCGAGCUAGUAGGUGAGAGAGGUGAGUGGAAUUCCGAGUGUAGAGGUGAAAUUCGUAGAUAUUCGGAAGAACACCAGUGGCGAAGGCGGCUCACUGGCUCAUUCUAGACGCUGAGGUGCGAAAGCGUGGGGAGCAAACAGGAUUAGAUACCCGGGUGUCCCUGUCUCUUAUACA
rnacentral:rRNA from 1 species